CAGUCGCCGCGGUAAUACGUAGGGUGCAAGCGUUAAUCGGAAUUACUGGGCGUAAAGCGUGCGCAGGCGGUUUGUUAAGACAGAUGUGAAAUCCCCGGGCUCAACCUGGGAACUGCAUUUGUGACUGGCAAGCUAGAGUCUGGCAGAGGGGGGUGGAAUUCCGCGUGUAGCAGUGAGAUGCGUAGAUAUGCGGAGGAACACCGAUGGCGAAGGCAGCCCCCUGGGCCAACACUGACGCUCAUGCACGAAAGCGUGGGGAGCAAACAGGAUUAGAUACCCGUGUAGUCCCUGUCUCUUAUAC
rnacentral:rRNA from 1 species